rnacentral:rRNA from 1 species
UACGUAGGGGGCAAGCGUUGUCCGGAUUCAUUGGGCGUAAAGAGCGUGUAGGCGGCCAGGUAGGUCGGUUGUGAAAACUGGAGGCUCAACCUUCAGAGGUCGACCGAAACCAUCUGGCUAGAGUCCGGGAGAGGAGAGUGGAAUUCCUGGUGUAGCGGUGAAAUGCGCAGAUAUCAGGAAGAACACCCGUGGCGAAAGCGGCUCUCUGGAACGGUACUGACGCUGAGGCACGAAAGCGUGGGGAGCAAACAGG